UCCCAUAUUGUCUAGUGGUUAGGAUACCCGGCUCUCACCCGGGAGGCCCGGGUUCAAUUCCCGAUAUGGGAA
rnacentral:tRNA from 1 species